rnacentral:rRNA from 1 species
GGCCCAGACAGCCAGGAUGUUGGCUUAGAAGCAGCCAUCAUUUAAAGAAAGCGUAAUAGCUCACUGGUCGAGUCGGCCUGCGCGGAAGAUGUAACGGGGCUAAACCAUGCACCGAAGCUGCGGCAGCAACGCUGAUGCGUUGUUGGGUAGGGGAGCGUUCUGUAAGCCUGUGAAGGUGGCCUGUGAGGGUUGCUGGAGGUAUCAGAAGUGCGAAUGCUGACAUAAGUAACGAUAAAGCGGGUGAAAAGCCCGCUCGCCGGAAGACCAA